rnacentral:rRNA from 1 species
GACGAACGCUGGCGGCGUGCUUAACACAUGCAAGUCGAACGGAAAGGCCCUGCUUUUGUGGGGUGCUCGAGUGGCGAACGGGUGAGUAACACGUGAGUAACCUGCCCUUGACUUUGGGAUAACUUCAGGAAACUGGGGCUAAUACCGGAUAGGAGCUCCUGCUGCAUGGUGGGGGUUGGAAAGUUUCGGCGGUUGGGGAUGGACUCGCGGCUUAUCAGCUUGUUGGUGGGGUAGUGGCUUACCAAGGCUUUGACGGGUAGCCGGCCUGGGAGGGUGACCGGGCACAAGGGGACUACGGGAGGCAGCAGGAGCGAACGUGCGGCAGUGGGGGGGAGCCUGGCGGAGCGGCGGGAAGCGAGUGAAGGAGGGCGUGGGAGAGUAAAACGGUGUUUUGGGGGAUAAACAGAUUUGGAAGGUACCGAAGCGAGCGUGACGGUACUGAGUAAGGAAGCAACGGCUAACUACGU